ACCUUCGUGGUGUAAUGGUCAGCACACUCGACGCGUAUUCGAGAGGUCUGUGGUUCGAGUCCUGGCGAGGGCA
rnacentral:tRNA from 1 species